rnacentral:rRNA from 1 species
AUGAACGCUGGCGGCGUGCCUCAUACAUGCAAGUCGCGCGAACGGACGAGAAGCUUGCUUUUCUGAUGUUAGCGGCGGACGGGUGAGUAACACGUGGAUAACCUACCUAUAAGACUGGGAUAACUUCGGGAAACCGGAGCUAAUACCGGAUAAUAUUUUGAACCGCAUGGUUCAUAAGUGAAAGACGGUCUUGCUGUCACUUAUAGAUGGAUCCGCGCUGCAUUAGCUAGUUGGUAAGGUAACGGCUUACCAAGGCAACGAUGCAUAGCCGACCUGAGAGGGUGAUCGGCCACACUGGAACUGAGACACGGUCCAGACUCCUACGGGAGGCAGCAGUAGGGAAUCUUCCGCAAUGGGCGAAAGCCUGACGGAGCAACGCCGCGUGAGUGAUGAAGGUCUUCGGAUCGUAAAACUCUGUUAUUAGGGAAGAACAUAUGUGUAAGUAACUGUGCACAUCUUGACGGUACCUAAUCAGAAAGCCACGGCUAACUACGUG